rnacentral:rRNA from 1 species
UGAGGAAUAUUGGUCAAUGGACGCAAGUCUGAACCAGCCAUGCCGCGUGCAGGAUGACGGCUCUAUGAGUUGUAAACUGCUUUUGUACGAGGGUAAACGCAGAUACGUGUAUCUGUCUGAAAGUAUCGUACGAAUAAGGAUCGGCUAACUCCGUGCCAGCAGCCGCGGUAAUACGGAGGAUUCAAGCGUUAUCCGGAUUUAUUGGGUUUAAAGGGUGCGUAGGCGGUUUGAUAAGUUAGAGGUGAAAUUUCGGGGCUCAACCCUGAACGUGCCUCUAAUACUGUUGAGCUAGAGAGUAGUUGCGGUAGGCGGAAUGUAUGGUGUAGCGGUGAAAUGCUUAGAGAUCAUACAGAACACCGAUUGCGAAGGCAGCUUACCAAACUAUAUCUGACGUUGAGGCACGAAAGCGUGGGGAGCAAACAGGAUUAGAUACCCUGGUAGUCCACGCAGUAAACGAUGAUAACUCGUUGUCGGCGAUACACAGUCGGUGACUAAGCGAAAGCGAUAAGUUAUCCACCUGGGGAGUACGUUCGCAAGAAUGAAACUCAAAGGAAUUGACGGGGGCCCGCACAAGCGGAGGAACAUGUGGUUUAAUUCGAUGAUACGCGAGGAACCUUACCCGGGCUUGAAAGUUAGCGACGAUUCUUGAAAGAGGAUUUCCCUUCGGGGCGCGAAACUAGGUGCUGCAUGGUUGUCGUCAGCUCGUGCCGUGAGGUGUCGGGUUAAGUCCCAUAACGAGCGCAACCCCUACCGUUAGUUGCCAUCAGGUGAAGCUGGGCACUCUGGCGGGACUGCCGGUGUAAGCCGAGAGGAAGGUGGGGAUGACGUCAAAUCAGCACGGCCCUUACGUCCGGGGCUACACACGUGUUACAAUGGUAGGUACAGAGGACAGCUACCCAGCGAUGGGAUGCGAAUCUCGAAAGCCUAUCUCAGUUCGGAUUGGAGGCUGAAACCCGCCUCCAUGAAGUUGGAUUCGCUAGUAAUCGCGCAUCAGCCAUGGCGCGGUGAAUACGUUCCC